AGUGAACGCUGGCGGUAGGCCUAACACAUGCAAGUCGAACGGCAGCACAGUAAGAGCUUGCUCUUACGGGUGGCGAGUGGCGGACGGGUGAGGAAUACAUCGGAAUCUACUUUUUCGUGGGGGAUAACGUAGGGAAACUUACGCUAAUACCGCAUACGACCUACAGGUGAAAGCAGGGGAUCUUCGGACCUUGCGCGAUUGAAUGAGCCGAUGUCGGAUUAGCUAGUUGGCGGGGUAAAGGCCCACCAAGGCGACGAUCCGUAGCUGAUCUGAGAGGAUGAUCAGCCACACUGGAACUGAGACACGGUCCAGACUCCUACGGGAGGCAGCAGUGGGGAAUAUUGGACAAUGGGCGCAAGCCUGAUCCAGCCAUACCGCGUGGGUGAAGAAGGCCUUCGGGUUGUAAAGCCCUUUUGUUGGGAAAGAAAAGCAGCAGGUUAAUACCCCGCUGUUCUGACGGUACCCAAAGAAUAAGCACCGGCUAACUUCGUG
rnacentral:rRNA from 1 species